rnacentral:rRNA from 1 species
AUUGAACGCUGGCGGCAGGCUUAACACAUGCAAGUCGAGCGGGGUGAUGGUGCUUGCACUAUCACUUAGCGGCGGACGGGUGAGUAAUGCUUAGGAAUCUGCCUAUUAGUGGGGGACAACAUCUGGAAAGGGAUGCUAAUACCGCAUACGUCCUACGGGAGAAAGCAGGGGGUCACUUGUGACACUGCGCUAAUAGAUGCGCCUAAUUAUGAUUAGCUAGUUGGUGGGGUAAAGGCCUACCAAGGCGACGAUCUGUAGCGGGUCUGAGAGGGUGAUCCGCCAGACUGGGACUGAGACACGGCCCAGACUCCUACGGGAGGCAGCAGUGGGGAAUAUUGGACAAUGGGGGGAACCCGGAUCCAGCCAUGCCGCGUGUGUGAAGGAGGCCUUAUGGUUGUAAAGCACUUUAAGCGAGGAGGAGGCUCUUUUGGUUAAUACCCAAGAUGAGUGGACGUUACUCGCAGAAUAAGCACCGGCUAACUCUGUGCCAGCCGCCGCAGUAA